GACGAACGCUGGCGGCGUGCUUAACACAUGCAAGUCGAACGGAAAGGCCCUGCUUUUGUGGGUUGCUCGAGUGGCGAACGGGUGAGUAACACGCGAGUAACCUGCCCUUGACUUUGGGAGAACUUCAGGAAACUGGGGCUCAUACCGGAUAGGAGCUCCUGCUGCACGGUGGGGGUUGGAAAGUUUCGGCGGUUGGGGAUGGACUCGCGGCUUAUCAGCCUGUUGGUGGGGUAGUGGCUUACCAAGGCUUUGACGGCUAGCCGGCCUGAGAGGGUGGCCGGCCACAUUGGGACUGAGAGACGGACCAGACUGCUACGUGAGGCAGCAGGGGAGAAUAUUGCACAAUGGGCGGAAGCCUGAUGCAGCAACGCCGCGUGCGGGAUGACGGCCUUCGGGUUGUAAACCGCUUUCGCCUGUGACGAAGCGUGAGUGACGGUAAUGGGUAAAGAAGCACCGGCUAACUACGUG
rnacentral:rRNA from 1 species